AAAAAAUUAAACCCUAAAUUUUCGUGUCCAACGUUUGACUGUCCGUCUUAUAUGAAAAAAUUUUAUAAUUAGUAUUUUCAUUGUUGUUAUAUGAUAAAAUAUGAUUAAUACUUUAUGCGUGACUUCUUUUUAAUUUUUUUCAUAAUUUUUUUAAAUAAUAUGAUCAAACAUUGAACAUGAAAACUCAGGGUUUGUCUUUUU
rfam:Oryza glumipatula chromosome 3, whole genome shotgun sequence.